GCCUGGGUGGCUCAGUCGGUUGAGCGUCCGACUUUGGCUCAGGUCAUGAUCUCGUGGUUCGUGGGUUCGAGCCCCGCAUCGGGCU
rnacentral:tRNA from 1 species